UACGUAGGGGGGCAAGCGUUGUCCGGAUUCAUUGGGCGUAAAGCGCGGGCAGGCGGCCCCGUUAAGUCGGCCGUGAAAGCGCCGGGCUCAACUCGGCGAGGACGGGCGAGACUGACGGGCUCGAGGUUGGCAGAGGGCGGUGGAAUUCCGGGUGUAGUGGUGGAAUGCGUAGAGCUCCGGAGGAACACCAGUGGCGAAGGCGGCCGCCUGGGCCCAAUGACU
rnacentral:rRNA from 1 species